UUGCUGUCGGGUCAGGGCCUGAAAAUUUUUUAUGUAUCGUCUCAAGGCUGCUAACUUCUCGUCAAUGGACAUGGAAUGUGAUGAAUGAAGGCUUGUUUAACCUUGUCCUGCAUUAAAGUGAGGUCGGUGCAUUCUUCUUGAUAGCAAAGUUGCGGGCUGACAUGAAGUUGGACAUGCUUAAAGGCUGAAGAUCGUCACUCCAGUCUUCCUUGUAUGUGUGGUAUUUAUAAAGAAUUUGGAUAUUGACAUCGAUAAGGAAGGAGACGAGCAAAAAACAAAAAAGAGAAAAGUGG